UACGUAGGGGGCAAGCGUUGUCCGGAUUUAUUGGGCGUAAAGAGCGUGUAGGCGGCCUUACAGGUCAGCUGUGAAAACUCGAGGCUCAACCUCGAGACGUCGGUUGAAACCGUAGGGCUAGAGUCCGGAAGAGGAGAGUGGAAUUCCCGGUGUAGCGGUGAAAUGCGCAGAUAUCGGGAAGAACACCCGUGGCGAAGGCGGCUCUCUGGGACGGUACUGACGCUGAGACGCGAAAGCGUGGGGAGCGAACAGG
rnacentral:rRNA from 1 species